GACGAACGCUGGCGGCGUGCUUAACACAUGCAAGUCGAACGAUGAAGCCUAGCUUGCUAGGUGGAUUAGUGGCGAACGGGUGAGUAAUACGUGAGUAACCUACCUUUAACUCUGGGAUAAGCCUGGGAAACUGGGUCUAAUACCGGAUACGACCAAUCUCCGCAUGGGGUGUUGGUGGAAAGCGUUAUGUAGUGGUUAUAGAUGGGCUCACGGCCUAUCAGCUUGUUGGUGAGGUAACGGCUCACCAAGGCGACGACGGGUAGCCGGCCUGAGAGGGUGACCGGCCACACUGGGACUGAGACACGGCCCAGACUCCUACGGGAGGCAGAAGUGGGGAAUAUUGCACAAUGGGCGCAAGCCUGAUGCAGCGACGCCGCGUGAGGGAUGACGGCCUUCGGGUUGUAAACCUCUGUUAGCAGGGAAGAAGAGAAAUUGACGGUACCUGCAGAGAAAGCGCCGGCUAACUACGUG
rnacentral:rRNA from 1 species